rnacentral:rRNA from 1 species
AUUGAACGCUGGCGGCAUGCCUUACACAUGCAAGUCGAACGGCAGCACGGGUGCUUGCACCUGGUGGCGAGUGGCGAACGGGUGAGUAAUACAUCGGAACAUGUCCUGUAGUGGGGGAUAGCCCGGCGAAAGCCGGAUUAAUACCGCAUACGAUCCACGGAUGAAAGCGGGGGCCCUUCGGGCCUCGCGCCAUAGGGUUGGCCGAUGGCUGAUUAGCUAGUUGGUGGGGUAAAGGCCUACCAAGGCGACGAUCAGUAGCUGGUCUGAGAGGACGACCAGCCACACUGGGACUGAGACACGGCCCAGACUCCUACGGGAGGCAGCAGUGGGGAAUUUUGGACAAUGGGCGAAAGCCUGAUCCAGCAAUGCCGCGUGUGUGAAGAAGGCCUUCGGGUUGUAAAGCACUUUUGUCCGGAAAGAAAUCCUUGACUCUAAUACAGUCGGGGGAUGACGGUACCGGAAGAAUAAGCACCGGCUAACUACGUG